GUUUGCACGUCGGGCGACAUGCUUAGCGUUAUUUCGUCUGCCGCUACGUUCUGAGUUCAAAUUCCGCCGAGCUUGACUUUGCCUUUCAUCCUUUCUGGGUCGAUUAAAUAAGUACCAGUUACGCACUUGGGUUGAUUAAAUAAGUACUAG